rnacentral:rRNA from 1 species
GAUGAACGCUGGCGGCGUGCCUAAUACAUGCAAGUCGAGCGAACGGACGAGAAGCUUGCUUUUCUGAUGUUAGCGGCGGACGGGUGAGUAACACGUGGAUAACCUACCUAUAAGACUGGGAUAACUUCGGGAAACCGGAGCUAAUACCGGAUAAUAUUUUGAACCGCAUGGUUCAAAAGUGAAAGACGGUCUUGCUGUCACUUAUAGAUGGAUCCGCGCUGCAUUAGCUAGUUGGUAAGGUAACGGCUUACCAAGGCAACGAUGCAUAGCCGACCUGAGAGGGUGAUCGGCCACACUGGAACUGAGACACGGUCCAGACUCCUACGGGAGGCAGCAGUAGGGAAUCUUCCGCAAAGGGCGAAAGCCUGACGGAGCAACGCCGCGUGAGUGAUGAAGGUCUUCGGAUCGUAAAACUCUGUUAUUAGGGAAGAACAUAUGUGUAAGUAACUGUGCAUAUCUUGACGGUACCUAAUCAGAAAGCCACGGCUAACUACGUG